rnacentral:tRNA from 1 species
AGUAGAAUGGCUGAGAUGUAAUAGGUGAUAGAUUGUAAAUCUAUGAAGGGAUUAAUAAAAUCCUUCUGCU